AUCAAAGUUGAAAUUUCCUAGUUUUUUAAUAAAGAUACUUUAGGGUGUGUUUGGUUUGAAGUCGGAGUCAGAAUCGGAAUUGGAAUCAAAAUAAGCUGGAAUCGGAAUCAGAAUGACUCAUUACCUAAUUCUGUUUGGUUCAUCACCUGAAUCGGAAUCGGAAUAAAUAAUUCCAUUGUCGGUGUUUGGUUUAGGUGGAUAUAAAAAACGUAAUCAAAUUAAUAUACUAACAUUAUCUUUAUAAUA
rnacentral:lncRNA from 1 species